GCCGGACGCGGUGGCGCGCGCCUGUAGUCCCAGCUACUCGGGAGGCUGAGAUGGGAGGAUCGCUUGAGCCCAGGAGUUCUGGGCUGUAGUGCGCUAUGCCGAUCGGGUGUCCGCACUAAGUUCGGCAUCAAUAUGGUGACCUCCCGGGAGCGGGGGACCACCAGGUUGCCUAAGGAGGGGUGAACCGGCCCAGGUCGGAAACGGAGCAGGUCAAAACUCCCGUGCUGAUCAGUAGUGGGAUCGCACCUGUGAAUAGCCACUGCACUCCAGCCUGGGCAACAUAGCGAGACCCCGUCUCU
rnacentral:SRP_RNA from 1 species